rnacentral:rRNA from 1 species
AGAGUUUGAUCAUGGCUCAGGACGAACGCUGGCGGCGUGCUUAACACAUGCAAGUCGAACGGUGAACCUCUUCGGGGGNNGUGGCGAACGGGUGAGUAACACGUGGGCAACCUGCCCCCGGCUCUGGGAUAACUCCAAGAAAUUGGGGCUAAUACCGGAUGUUCACCGCUUCCCGCAUGGGUGGUGGUGGAAAGGGUUUCCGGCUGGGGAUGGGCCCGCGGCCUAUCAGCUUGUUGGUGGGGUAGUGGCCUACCAAGGCGACGACGGGUAGCCGGCCUGNNANNNUGACCGGCCACACUGGGACUGAGACACGGCCCAGACUCCUACGGGAGGCAGCAGUGGGGAAUAUUGCGCAAUGGGCGGAAGCCUGACGCAGCGACGCCGCGUGGGGGAUGACGGCCUUCGGGUUGUAAACCUCUUUCAGCAGGGACGAAGCGCAAGUGACGGUACUGCAGAAGAAGCACCGGCCAACUACGUGCCAGCAGCCGCGGUAAUACGUAGGGUGCAAGCGUUGUCCGGAAUUAUUGGGCGUAAAGAGCUCGUAGGCGGUUCGUCGCGUCGGCUGUGAAAACCCGGAGCUCAACUCCGGGCCUGCAGUCGAUACGGGCGGACUUGAGUUCGGCAGGGGAGACUGGAAUUCCUGGUGUAGCGGUGAAAUGCGCAGAUAUCAGGAGGAACACCGGUGGCGAAGGCGGGUCUCUGGGCCGAAACUGACGCUGAGGAGCGAAAGCGUGGGGAGCGAACAGGAUUAGAUACCCUAGUAGUCC